UUUUUUGUUUCGAUAUUUCGUUACAUACUUUAACUAGUGUUAUAAAAUGAGCCGCAGACCUGUUAGUCACUGUUUCCAGCAACACCCGGGUCCGCCAAUAAAUGCACAGAGUUAGAAAGUGGAGGUCACGCUCUCGAGUAGAGAUGCGCUAAUAUUCACUAAUGAUCCUUCCGCAGGUUCACCUACGGAAA
rnacentral:misc_RNA from 1 species